rnacentral:misc_RNA from 1 species
CCUGCUGCUGCUGCGCCUCCUAUAAACACCACACACAGUCAGUCAAUUAUUACGUAAUUUGAUUUGGUGUCUUUCAGUUUUUUUCUUCUUUUUCAUUCUUGUUUUGUGCUACAUUUUAUUUAUAAAUUUUCGUUUCACAAAAAAUUUCUAGUAAAUUGCUUGCAUGCGACCGACUCUCUACUGUUUUGCACCUCUACUCAAACGAGAAAAAUCCGACAGACACACAAGUUAAUACAACAAGAAUAAUAAUAUUAAAAAAAAUUAUAUUAGAGAAAUAAUAAUAAAAAAAAACAAUUGCAAAAGAAAACGAAAAUGCCAGUGUAGCGGAAAAGAAGUUACACAUGAGUGUAUAGAGCAGUGUAGUUGUUAUUAUUUCUGUGGGAAAUGCAAAAAAAGCGAGAAAAUAAAAAAAAAACAAAAUAAAAAAUAGUUAGAAAAUAACAGUGAACGGUUAAAAACAAAAAAAAAAGAGAUUAAAAAAAGUGAAAAGAAAUAAAUGUAAACACGCGUAUGUUUGUGUAUGUGAAGUUAGAUAUAAUACAAUAAUAACAAUAACAACAACGUAAAACCAUAAACAGUUGAGUUCUUGUUUUUUUUACAACUUUUUACUCCUUUUUUAUUAUUUUGUUCGCUUUAUGGCCGUUUAAAAAAAAGUGUGGAAUGUAUGUGGAACAUAAAUGAAAUGAAUAAACAUCCAUUUACUUAUUAAAAGAAGCACAAUUAAGAAAAUCAACUUAAAGGACAUAAUGUUGCCUGCAGCGUUUAAAAUGUUAAUAAAGGCUGAAAUUGAAAAGAGCUAAAUGUUUAAUAAGUUAUGCGCUUACUUAUAAAGAGCUGUAGAAAAAAAAACAUGGUUGAAAACGAGCUGCUGCCACAACUCUAUUGGCUUAGCAAGAGCAACAACAACAACACUAACAACCUUGGCUUCAACUAACACAAAAUCAAAAUAGCGGUUAAUAGUAGAGUUCUA